rnacentral:tRNA from 1 species
CUGCCUAGUGCCUAAGUGGUCCAGAAGGCCUAGGGCCAAUCUGGGCGGCAGUCCCUGGGCGGCCGCCUAAGCAGUACGGAACCGCCUAGGCAGGC